AUUGAACGCUGGCGGCAUGCUUUACACAUGCAAGUCGAACGGUAACAGGCCUUCGGGCGCUGACGAGUGGCGAACGGGUGAGUAAUGCAUCGGAACGUGCCCAGUCGUGGGGGAUAACGCAGCGAAAGCUGUGCUAAUACCGCAUACGAUCUGCGGAUGAAAGCGGGGGACCUUCGGGCCUCGCGCGAUUGGAGCGGCCGAUGUCAGAUUAGGUAGUUGGUGGGGUAAAGGCUCACCAAGCCAACGAUCUGUAGCUGGUCUGAGAGGACGACCAGCCGCACUGGGACUGAGACACGGCCCAGACUCCUACGGGAGGCAGCAGUGGGGAAUUUUGGACAAUGGGCGCAAGCCUGAUCCAGCAAUGCCGCGUGCAGGAAGAAGGCCUUCGGGUUGUAAACUGCUUUUGUACGGAGCGAAAAGGCUCCCUCUAAUACAGGGGGCUCAUGACGGUACCGUAAGAAUAAGCACCGGCUAACUACGUGCCAGCCGCCGCGGUAAAAC
rnacentral:rRNA from 1 species